rnacentral:ncRNA from 1 species
GCCAUAAAAGCCACACCCAUCGUGAGAUGGGGUCGGAAAGCAACGGGUCUUGAAAUAUUCAAAUUGACUAUCAGCUAAAUAUUCUCCACGUGUGGAUAAGACAGCCGGGCUGCCGAGU